rnacentral:rRNA from 1 species
UACGGGGGGGGCAAGCGUUGUUCGGAAUUACUGGGCGUAAAGGGCUCGUAGGCGGCCAACUAAGUCGGACGUGAAAUCCCUCGGCUUAACCGGGGAACUGCGUCCGAUACUGGAUGGCUUGAGUUUGGGAGAGGGAUGCGGAAUUCCAGGUGUAGCGGUGAAAUGCGUAGAUAUCAGGAGGAACACCAAUGGCGAAGGCAGCUCGCUGGGACGUGACUGACGCUGAGACGCGAAAGCGUGGGGAGCAAACAGG